AAAAAGUGUAAUGCAAAUGUGUAUGAGAAAUAAAUCUACCGGAUGCUCACGAUAAACAAAUAUUACAUAAAUAUCCUUUAAAAACUUUCCAAAUUUAAUUAUUAAUAUAAAGAAAUGUAUAAAGUAUGCGAAGAGGAUAGAAAAAUAUAUCGAUUUAACUUAAAAAACUCGCGAGAGUUUUGUUUAAUUCUCCAUGUAUACAAACUGCACUUCAAAUUCUUCGUAAAUAUUGACAUAUAAUUUUUCAAAAAAAUAUAACAAUUUAUUUAUCGAAAAUUAUAAUAAAUUAUCAUUCCGAACACGGCAUCGAGAUCGAGACUAUCGAGAGUCACUGAUGGCCGCUGAAUUUGGCUGAAAGUUCGACGCCCCAUAAAAAUGGCAAUUCUGUAUCAGUCCAUAAAGCAAUUUGGAAGAAGUCUGAUUUUUGCCGAAUCUAAUAGAAACUUGUCGCUGUCCGCAACCGCAUAUUUAAGAGAAAUAAUUAAGAAGAAAGAAGAUAAAGUCUUAACCAUCGAAGGUGUAAAAGUACCACACAAGCAGGAGCAUUUAUUAUUAAAGUUUAAUUCUAAGGCGUGUCCUCUUUGCGCUGCAGGAGUUAACGUUAAGCACACCGAUGUUCUUAUUCUAAAUCAGUUCGUGCGGUCAAAUGGCGGUGUGUUGCCACGCAGGAUAACUGGUCUGUGUAAAGUACAGCAGAAAAGAAUUUCUGUUUUGGUGACUAUGGCUCAGAAAGCAGAAAGAAAAAAAGAGAAUAUUUUUAUCGAAAAAUACUAUUAAACUAUUGUGAAAAAAUUAUAAGUGUACGAUAUUGGAUUUAAAUGAUUUUCUAAUUAUAUUCAAUAGUUUUUCUGCUUGUUACCAAGUAAAUCUAUAGAACGAGAAAACAAGAGGGGACCAGCGUGGAAAAGAUACAAUACAUAUUACGAUGAGAAUACUAUACAAUACAAAU